ACGCCAUCCAUCACUCUCACUUUCUCUUCCUCUUGGAAAAAGCUUCGCAACUGCCAAUCAUUUCACUCUCUUGACUUUAAAUAUUAACAGUAUAAUCAUCCUAAAUUUCCUACUUACUUACCAAGAAGAACCCAUCAGACAAUAUGCUUCACAGCGCAUAAUGCGCUACUUUUCUUUAUCAAAUUCUCUUCUAUUCUCGGGAAUCUUACACCAACCAUUGCCUCACUUUUUCUUUCUUCAAACCCUUAUUUCUAUCUUCUUUCCAACACCCGAAACCAAGGCCGCCAACGUCGUUCAACUCUUUGACGGCUUGUUUAAGGUUCUGGGGUCCUGGGAAUUGCAGGAUUUUGACCUACAAUUUGUGGGAGGAGUUGAUUCAGAGCUUCAAAAGCUGAGAUCAAAGUUGAAGAUGGUUGGAUUUCUGCUCAGUCUAGCUGAAGAAAUUCAACUGAAGAAGGACGAUGAGACUUCGUUCUGUAUCUUCAGGUUCAAUGUUCAAAAGGUCUCCAAGACCGAAGAGCUGAAAGUGAUUUCCAGAGGGAAAUCAAGUUGUGCAUCAAGGAGCAAAGUUCAUAUGAUUCAACUAAGCAAGGUGUUUAUGUCAUAUUUUAUUUGACAUCCCUAAUUGGUAUGGGUGGAGUUGGCAAGAUGAAAAUUAUUCGGGCAUGAUGUGGGAUUGCAAGGUUUUCAAAGUCUUCUAUUUUGAAAAAAAUGCUUAGGUCUAUGUCUUUGACAACUUUGAGAGUCUCACUAUUUUGAAGGUACUUUUUUAGCCAUUAAAGGAUCUUUGAUAUUUACCUUAGCCUAAUUUAAAAGACAUGAAAAAUAAAUUGGAAAAAAUAAUAUAGGGGAAAAACCGAGUUUUUACUUGUCUUAGAUGAUGUUUGGAACGUGAAUAAAUGGAAAUAGAAGGCAUGCGAAUUUUGAUAGUAUAAACAUUGAUGUAUAAAAACAAUAUUUAGGUCACAGAAGAACUUUAUUGAAAAGUGCACAAAAAUUGCCUCUGGCAGUUAUGACCCUCCAGGUCUUUCAGAUGCCCGAGAUUAUAUAAAAAUACAAUAUAUAGGCUGACAAAAAUGAUAUUUUCCCAGUAUUAAGGUUAAGUUAUCAUCAUCUUCCUUCACGUAUGAAAGACAUCUCACAUAUUGUGCAAUUUUCCUCAAAGAGAUGUUUUGGUUAUUGUGCAAUAUUUCCUAAAGAUUACAAUUUCGAGAAGGAUGAACUUCUCAUCUUGUGGAUGGAGGAGAAGGUAUAAUUCAACAAUCAGAUUAAGCAACUAUAUUUGGUCCGGGAGUGUUUUCAUCAUUUAUGUUCAAGAUCACUUUGUCAACAAUCAAGUAGCUAUUGUUCUAAAUAUGUAUCGUAUGAUCUUGUCAAUGAUCUAACUCAAUUAGUUCUUAUUGAAAUCAAUAAGUCUAAGGAAGCCGAUACCAAACUAGCAAAAAUAGUUGAAAGAAUUUGUCUAGAAAUAUUCUUUCAAGUAUUUAUGAAUCUUUAUGUAUGGUUGGACUACCAUUCAACCGUAGUUCAUUCUAAUAUGUAAAGAUCUACAAGCCUUAUCAAAAGGAUUGAGUACCUCUUAUUGUUAAAAGAACUGUAAGAGAGGGCAGAGGAAAAUACUGUUGAAAAUCACUCAAAUCCCUAUCAUUCAAAUAGAUAGUAGAUUCAUCUACAAUUCAGAGAAGGAAAGAGAAUUGAGCUUUAUUUUAGAACAAUCAGUCAGACGAUCAUUUCAUUGCUUCCAAGAUGAUCUUCAAGAAGACCCUCAAGAUGAGUUGAGCUUCAGGGACAAAACAUUUUGAGCAGAAUCUGAGCAAUUUUAGAUCUCAAAAUGAAGAAAUUGAUCUGAAAAUUAUCUCAUUCAAUUCCAGAUGAGCUUUAAUCUCCAUUUUAAAAGUUCACCUUUCUGCAACUCUCAUGGGUAAAAGUUACCUGGAAGGUCCUCCAUUCAAAGUUUGAUAUUUGCAAUUGCCGGUACCUGUAUGUGCUAAAGUUCCUUCAUGAUAUAUGGUUGCCAGAUUCAAGUUUGUUUUCAAAUGAUGGAUUUUUGAGGUGAAAUGGAAGUAGACUGUGAUUGCUAAGUCAUUACAGUUUCCUUCUUCUGCUUCAUGUAAGCAUAUUUAAAAUCAUUUUCAUAUCUAGACUUAUACAUAUCGAAUCAAUUAAUGUUAUGCUCAAAUCACAAUAGACAGAUUGGUUGGUUCUUGUUGCAUACGUGAUAAGGUGAACAUAUUUGCUUCUGCAUAUAUUUUGUUCAUUAUUUUUUUAAACCUUUUGGUUUUGAGAAAGAUACUGUGAAAUCUGAUUGAUUUGGAAUUUGACGGAAUGUGAAUGCAAAAAAUUUUGGUUGAUUUAGAAUCUCACUGAAUCCAGUACAUUAAAAUGUUACAUAGAUUUAUAUAUUAUGAGAGGCAGCGUGUGGAGCUGCUGAAUUUUAGCAACCAAAACAUAGCAGCAUUGCUCCAACUUUUCAGUGUUUUUUUUUUUUUUUUUCAAUAUGUUGUUAAACUGUCAUUUUGAUAUAGAUGAUGUAUGUUAAAAAUUUUUUGUUCUAUUCAUAUCUUCAGGGAAGAAAUUGAUGAACAGAACGUUUCAGUGGCUUUAAAGUUUGAGCUGUACUUUUGAUCCUUCUAGUGAUUGCAUAUGUUAAUAAGGGUGCAGGCUCACCAAUGCCAUAAUGCACAGGAAGUGUUUCGGAAGCUUUGAAAAGCAAAGAUUUUGGAAUGUCGUCAACUCGCUGACACUUUUGCAUUAGAAACCUACUCUCCCACUAGUGAAUUUUGUUGGCAGCUAAUUCCAGAAGCUUCAUUGCUAUCUCCUGAAUUACACAAAGGAUAGCAAAAAAAGCACUCAUACACUUGAUAAGGUAUCUUAACCACAGCACCAUGAACUUACUGCAAUGACAAGAGCAAUGCAAAGCUUGAAAAUUUGCUGUACUUGCAGGGCAGCAAUGUUAGUCAUGGGUCAGACAGUUUUAUAUACAUGUAUAGGGUAGUGAAUGGGGGUGUUACAGAAUUUUGUAAGUGUUAAAAUUUCUGAGCUCUUGUUAGUUAGUUAAUAAGUUUCAAAUAUUUUCUGAAAUUUGUGUUCAUAAAGCAAGAGAUGUUGACAUGAUUUUGUUGAACUAGAUAAUUUCAAUUCAACCAGAUCAUGUGUGUGUAA